UAGAGUGACCAACUGCCCUGGUUUGCUUGGGACUGUCCUGGUUUUAAAACUAGAAGUCCCACAUCCCAGGAAACCCCUCAGUCCUAGACAAACUGGGACGGUUGGUCCCCCUGUGGUUAA
rnacentral:pre_miRNA from 1 species